rnacentral:rRNA from 1 species
AUUAAGCCAUGCAUGUCUCAGUGCAAGCCACAUUAGGGUGAAACCGCGAAUGGCUCAUUAAAUCAGUUAUGGUUCCUUAGAUCGUACCAAAGUUACUUGGAUAACUGUGGUAAUUCUAGAGCUAAUACAUGCAAACAGACUCCCGACCAGAAAUGGAACGGAUGCUUUUAUUAGAUCAAAACCAAUCGGUUCCGGCUCGUCCGGUCCGUUUGUCUUGGUGACUCUGAAUAACUUUGGGCUGAUCGCACGGUCUUUGCACCGGCGACGCAUCUUUCAAAUGUCUGCCUUAUCAACUGUCGAUGGUAGGUUCUGCGCCUACCAUGGUCGUAACGGGUAACGGGGAAUCAGGGUUCGAUUCCGGAGAGGGAGCCUGAGAAAUUGCUACCACAUCCAAGGAAGGCAGCAGGCGCGCAAAUUACCCACUCCCGGCACGGGGAGGUAGUGACGAAAAAUAACGAUACGGGACUCAUCCGAGGCCCCGUAAUCGGAAUGAGUACACUUUAAAUCCUUUAACGAGUAUCCAUUGGAGGGCAAGUCUGGUGCCAGCAGCCGCGGUAAUUCCAGCUCCAAUAGCGUAUAUUAAAGUUGUUGCGGUUAAAAAGCUCGUAGUUGGACUUGUGUCCCACGCUGUCGGUUCACCGCCCGUCGGUGUCUAACUGGCAUGGUUCGUGGGACGUCCUGCCGGUGGUGGCGAGUCGAAAGGGCGCCCGCGCUUGCGCGUAAGUGCCCCGGAGGCGGACCCCGAUUAAAUCCUACCGCGGUGCUCUUUACUGAGUGUCGAGGUGGGCCCGGCACGUUUACUUUGAACAAAUUAGAGUGCUUAAAGCAGGCCGGUCGCGCCUGAAUACUGUGUGCAUGGAAUAAUGGAAUAGGACCUCGGUUCUAUUUUGUUGGUUUUCGGAACCCGAGGUAAUGAUUAAUAGGGACAGUCGGGGGCAUUCGUAUUGCGACGUUAGAGGUGAAAU